rnacentral:rRNA from 1 species
GAUGAACGCUGGCGGCGUGCCUAAUACAUGCAAGUCGAGCGAACGGACGAGAAGCUUGCUUCUCUGAUGUUAGCGGCGGACGGGUGAGUAACACGUGGAUAACCUACCUAUAAGACUGGGAUAACUUCGGGAAACCGGAGCUAAUACCGGAUGAUCUUUUGAACCGCAUGGUUCAAAAGUGAAAGACGGUCUUGCUGUCACUUAUAGAUGGAUCCGCGCUGCAUUAGCUAGUUGGUAAGGAAACGGCUUACCAAGGCAACGAUGCAUAGCCGACCUGAGAGGGUGAUCGGCCACACGGGAGCUGAGACACGGACCAGACUCCUACGGGAGGCAGCAGUAGGGAAUCUUCCGCAAUGGGCGAAAGCCUGGCGGAGCAACGCCGCGUGAGUGAUGAAGGUCUUCGGAUCGUAAAACUCUGUUAUUAGGGAAGAACAUAUGUGUAAGUAACUGUGCACAUCUUGACGGUACCUAAUCAGAAAGCCACGGCUAACUACGUG